UUGAACGCUGGCGGCAUGCCUAACACAUGCAAGUCGAACGGCAGCAUGAGGUGUAGCAAUACACCUUGAUGGCGAGUGGCGGACGGGUGAGGAACACAUCGGAAUCUGCCCAAUCGUGGGGGACGAACGCAGGGAAACUUGCGCUAAUACCGCAUACGACCUUCGGGUGAAAGCAGGGGAGUCUUCGGACCUUGCGCGAUUGGAUGAGCCGAUGUCGGAUUAGCUUGUUGGCGGGGUAACGGCCCACCAAGGCUACGAUCCGUAGCUGGUCUGAGAGGAUGAUCAGCCACAUUGGGACUGAGACACGGCCCAAACUCCUACGGGAGGCAGCAGUGGGGAAUAUUGGACAAUGGGCGAAAGCCUGAUCCAGCAAUGCCGCGUGUGUGAAGAAGGCCUUCGGGUUGUAAAGCACUUUUAUCAGGAACGAAAUCUGCACGGCUAAUACCCGUGUAAUCUGACGGUACCUGAGGAAUAAGCACCGGCUAACUCCGUG
rnacentral:rRNA from 1 species